CAGCCAGCUUCUACUGGGGAAUUCAAUGAAAACCUUCACUGGAGUUUCCAGCUUGCAGCCUGCCCUACAAAAUAUGGACUUGCCCACCCCUACAGUCAUACUCAGCGUGCUAGUGUUCCAGGCUGGAGUCCAGCGGGAGUUCAGCUGCAGGGGAAGCAGAUCAGACGGUGGGUGCCGUCAGCCAGAGACCCGAGGACUUUGCCAUGGUUGCGCCUCCCUGGAAGUUUGAAGAUGCCGGGACAGAGCCAUGUGAUGAUUUUCAUCUGACAACCAGGAACUUUGGAAGAAUCUCUGCCCUUAGGCACUUCCAUUUUUGUGUCCAGACUGGCCACCUUCCAACCUCACUAGAGGCACCGCAGAAUGAAACUCUCCGUGGAGGGUGAGAGGACAAACUGGAGAACGAGGAAAGGUCAAGGCUCCUCAAGCUUGGUCAGCCUCUCAGGCCUAACAGCAGAAGCUGGAAUUCCUUUCUGCAUAACUUGGACUUGAAUUAAAGGCAUUUUGAGUCUGGAAACCUUUGGACUAAAAAGCUUUCACUCAUAUGUAACACUCAAGGGGCAGAAAAGGACCUCAGCCUGCAGGAAGGGCACACUGACCUGUGACCUCACUGCCUUCGCCAACCUGGGAAGGCACAAAAGCUGUGGUGGGUUGGCCACACCACCUAGAGUGUUUCUGUCAGUGUAGACAUUCUAAAUCAUGUCAGCUGGCCAUGCCUUUUAAGGGAAGGGUGGUGAUGUGUUUAUAUGCUCAGAGAAGCAAGCAUUACAGAGAGAAAAUGAG